UUUUAUACAAAAGUCUCGCACGAAUUUUAUGAAGAAUACGAAAACACUAUUUCCUGAGUUUAUAGAGUGUGUGAAAAGUAUUACCCCCAGAUCCCCUCUGGUAUAAAAACAAUCUAAAAGGUCAUUUGAAGUUCAUCAAAUUCCAUAAGUUUAAAUUCAGCACUGAAAGGACAUUUACACAAAUAUAGGAAUGCUUACGUUUUAUCUACUGUGCACCGUUUGUAUACUCGUCGCCGAAUCAAAACCCUUCUAUGAGUAUUGGCGGGUACCAAAAAUACGAACAGAUCCGAGAUCAUGUAUUUAUGACGGAGAAAUAGUGAAUGAAGGUUUUACGGAAUACGAUUAUGGGAAAAAAUGUGGGACAGGGAUUGAGUGUUACAAUGGCGAAAUGAAAGCUUUCAUUCGUGACGAUUGUGAUGAAUAUGGGAAUCUAAUAACCGAGUCACCUCCAAAAGAUGUUAGAGAAAAGCAUCGGCUUUAGUUAAUCACUGGAACUUUUCAAGUAAAAUAUCGUAAAGUUACUGGUGGAAUGAUUCGGAUAGUUGGCUUUUUUUAUUUUGUAUUUAUUUUUUAAAGAUAAAUUUAAAAAACUA